rnacentral:rRNA from 1 species
GACAGAGGGUGCAAACGUUGUUCGGAAUCACUGGGCUUAAAGGGCGCGUAGGCGGAUCAUCAAGUCCGGGGUGAAAUCCCGCAGCUCAACUGCGGAAGGGCCUUGGAUACUGGUGGUCUGGAGGGAGGUAGGGGCAUGUGGAACUUCCGGUGGAGCGGUGAAAUGCGUAGAGAUCGGAAGGAACGCCGGUGGCGAAAGCGACGUGCUGGACCUCAUCUGACGCUGAGGCGCGAAAGCCAGGGGAGCAAACGGG